AUAGCGUAUAUUAAAGUUGUUGCAGUUAAAAAGCUCGUAGUUGAAUUUUGGGCCCGACUGGGCGGUCUUGCCUCGUUGUAAGCACUGCUCGCCUCACGGUUCAGGUUGGGCCUUUCCUUCUGGCUAGCCAGCUGCCUUUCACUGGGUGGGCUGGGGAUCCAGGACUUUUACUUUGAAAAAAUUAGAGUGUUCAAAGCAGGCAUUUAUCGCUUGAAUACAUUAGCAUGGAAUAAUAAAAUAGGACUUUGGUUCUAUUUUGUUGGCUUCUAGGACCGAAGUAAUGAUUAAUAGGGAUAGUUGGGGACGUUAGUAUUUAGUUGUCAGAGGUGAAAUUCUUAGAUUUA
rnacentral:rRNA from 1 species